CAUGUACUAUGUGACAGGUACAGCUCUUAGCAUUUUACGUGUAUUACCUUGUUUAAUCACCAUAACAUCCCUUGAAGUAGGUACUAUUACUAUCCCCAUUUUAUGGAUGAGGAAUCUGAGGCCAGAGAGGUUAAGUAACUUGCCCAAGAUCAUGCAAAUAAUAAAUAGCAGAGCUUGGAUUCAAAUCUAAGCUGCCUGAGCUUUAACCAUUGAACUCCAUUGCGUCUCAACAGAAGCAAAUCAGAAACAAACACGUGAAAGUUCUCUCUUCCUCAGUUCUGCUCCGGUAGGGUAAGCACAGUUAAUAGUUUAAUGUGAAUUCUUGUAGACCUUUUUCUUUUUUUUUAAUUUUUGAAUUUAAUGUUAUUUAUUUUUUUAUACAACAGGUUCUUAUUAGUUAUCCAUUUUAUACACAUCAGUGUAUACAUGUCAAUCCCAGUCUCCCAAUUCAUCCCACCACCACCACCACCACCCCACCACCACUUUCCCCACUUGGUGUCCAUACGUGUGUUCUCUACAUCUGUUGUAGACCUUUUUCUUGACAAAGAACUUAUGUAUGCACACAGGAAUUAUUAAAACAAGGAUUGGACUAUGUCAUACUUAACAAACAUUAUCGUACAACUUACUUUUUUUAACUUACUGAAUCACAGGCAUCUUUCCAGACUGGUAAGUACACAUCUAUCUUGCUUUUAACAGCUCCAUAGUCUUCUACGUGGUAGAUAUACCAUGAUUUAUUAGCUAACCCCCUAUUUUUAUCUUUUACAGAUGUGGAAGUGGGGAGGAGUUAACGUAAAAAUUGUGAAGUGUUUGAAUUUUUAGAAAUCUGUCAGGAAUCACCUUAUUAGGAAAGACUGCUGUAGAAAGGUGAUUGAAUGAAUUGUUCCUCUUAACCCCAUUCAGUUAAAUUAAAUUUUUAUGUUUGAACAAUACCUUCAAGACAGGCUUUGAGCCUUAAGAUCUGAACUAUUGCCCCAUGUGCUCGUCAGUGCUCACCAACUUGUCCCAGAAAGAGUUUGACACGAGCCCAUUCAUGCCUCCAUGACUUGGCCAAGAUUUGUGGCCUUGUGGAACUAGGCUGCAGUCAGGAACGGGAAUCAGCUUCCUUCACUAGCUGUGAGAAGGUGCCUCAGCGAGUUUCCCUGGGCAGGUCAGAUUGGCUGUGAGAUCUCCAUCCUCUGCCUCUCCCAGUAAACCAUGGAGCACCCCCUACGAAACAGUCCUCUCCAGAUGCAGACUGAGCCAGCUCCCUGUUAUGUUCUUUGGUGCUGUGUAUCCCCUUUUCCCUUCCGUGCAUCAGCCCUUAGGUAAAGCACAUGGCUGUAACUCACCCCAUGCCCACUCUGAGAGAUGGUUUCUCUAUGGUGUAGAGAGAGGCAUGGACUUGGAGUCAGAAGCCCUGGUUAAUUGUGAGUAGGCUAAAAGUUGCUUGUAUUGAGGGCUUACUCUGGGCCAGACACAGUGCUCAGUGCUGUGUGACCGUUAUCCCACUUAUUCCUCCCAAUAAUCUUACGAGGUAGGUAUU